GUAGAGUUAUUGUGAAUGGAAUUUGCCAGCUUUCAAUCGCCAAACAAUGGGCAAUAAAUGAAAAGUUUUAAAAAACUCUGUGAAAACAACAGCAAUUGACAGUGUUGCCAACACGACUUCCAAUAUGUGGAACGCAAUAAAUAAUGUGUGGCAGUGCACAUUGACACUACUGCGCUGGGAGCGCACUAUCGAUUUCGAUUUUCGAGGCUCAACAGUGGCACAAAACGUGACGAGAGGCUUUUCCACCCAGGCUGGCAGGACCACCCCACAGCACACGUGCAAAUAAUAUAAUAAUCCACCAUCGUCAUCGUUGCCUACUCCCGGGGACAUUUGAGUGCAACGGCGGGGACGGUCUUUAGUGAGUGUGAAUUAGCGUGUGUGUGUGUGAGCUAGCACACACACACAAACGUUCGAAAAAAUGCGGGAAAAUAUUUAAAACUAAACAAAGAAAAGCAACAACGAAAAAAAAACUCUUGUGGGAAACAAUUUGUUAACGAACGAUGCUGCUCUGAGGCUGAGGCUAACCGAAAACCACGACAAACAUGUGCAUUUUACGGGCACAUUCCAUUCCUCCUUAGAGUUUUGCUAGUUUUUGGCGCGGUUGCUGUUGAUGGAUGGGGGAUACAACGAACAAACAUCAUCAAUCAUCUCAGCAACAGUCUCAUCCGGAACAACCGCAACAGCAGCAACAACAGCCAUCGGUUCCACGGCCAAAGCAACCCCGGCUUGAGCCACCUUCACCAGCCGCUGCAGCACCUACUGCGGGCAGUGCUCCAGUUCCUGCGACACCCACAGCAGCUGUUGAGCCCCGACCUGCGCUUGGGGUCAUCCCCGAACUACCACCUCCGUGUUCCAACGGAUUCCACCGCCACCACCAACUCCAUCAAUACCAUCACCAGGCAUUUGUGGCCCUUCCUCCGCUUCUUGCCGCCGGAAAACCACCCCCACCGACGACACUCCAAAAUCCCCGCGGAAUCGUCGUUGAACCUCCUCCUCCUCCUCCGGUCACUGGUGGCCACCAUCAGCAUCCCCCGCAGCAGUCCUUCUCCCUGUACAAGACAAUCAACACGGUCAUCAAGAGUGGCCGCAAGAUCAUCGUCCGCGUGUGCGAAGUGACCAAUGUGAAAACCAAACUCAAAAUGUUCAACCUCUACUCGACGAUGAACAAGCGCAACGGCGCCGAGGAGAAGGAAGCCCGCGUCAUGGAGACGACCGGCCACGACCGGUUCUGCCAGGAGCGGCCCUCGAGGGAAUGCAGUUGCAUGGAACUGGCCGAUUUCCACCCGAUCCAUUGCAUGCGUGGUCGGUCCAGCUACCGGCGCAAAAAGAGGAAAAUGAGACGCGCUCAAUCCGCGGCGGAGUUCAACGAUGCUCGCACCGAGCUGCCGGCCCCCUCAGCAGCCAGCAAGAGGAUGUUGUUCAGGGGCCGCUCGGUCAGCUCGGACCACGACCAAAACUCGGAAUCGGAACACACGGAGCGGUCGCCGCUGGUCAGCGCCAAGCUGGACUCGCUGGCCAAGCUGCUGUUCAGCCGAAGUCUGAUGGCGGAAGGAUCCGGUGGCUUGAUCGGCGGUGGCGGCGGCAGCGGAAGUGGCGGAACCUCCACCAAAGACAAUGACUCGCCGACAAGGCACAACGUUCGCUACCAGUACACCGCCCUGGACAGUGGCAUCGGCGCCCCAGAUCGGAGCCCGCGGGAGCGAGCGGCACGGGACCGGGCCUUCACGGCCUGCCAGGACUGGCUGCAGCACACGGGCGGCCGGUACGAGUCGAUAGCGCACCUAGAUGACAUCGGGUCCCGGCCGAGCAAGCACUGGUUUCUGCUGAAUGAUUGCACGAUACGCACGGACCGGCUGAUGACGCUGCUACCCCUACCCGCCGACUGCAUUGCCUUCGAAGAGUUCCAGGGCGGCGGUGGCCAGUCCGAGUGUCCCCAAAGAAUCCUGAUGGAACUGCUCGGAUCGCUGCAGCAUCCGUACAUCUACCCGGUGCUCGAUCUGGGCUUCUUCCCGACCGACGCCCACCACUACGCGUGUCUCGUGAUGCCCUUCAACCCCCGUGGCAGUCUGAAGGAUCUCAUUUAUAAGUCCCAGUGGAACGAACCAUGGAGUCGUAAAUAUACGCGGAAAUCCACCUGCCUGCCCCUGUCCCAGGUACAACGAUUAGGACGUCAAAUUUUAGAGGCUUUGUUAUUUUUAAGGGAACGCGGAAUACCGUCGCACGGCCACCUGCACAGCGGCAACGUGAUCCUGCAGAACGGCGUGGCCAGAUUAUCCGGCCUGGAGAACGGACUGCUCGGGCUCAACUCGCGCGUCAACGCCAUCGUGUGGUCCCGCUCGGCCCCGGACAUUGACAACAUCGACGUCGUCUGCUUCGGCCACUUGCUUUUCGAGAUGUGCGCCGGGUACGAGCUCACGUCGCCCCAGCCGACCCCGGGCCACUAUCAGCUCGAUCUCGAGCGCUACCCACAGGUCGUCGACGUGCUGCAGAUGAUAUUCGAGUCACCAGAUGGGCGCUAUCCAACCGUCGAAGAACUGGUCCUUUGUGAUAUAUUCCGCAAUAUCGAUUUAAGAGAACUGCGAGGAACAUGUGUGCCUUCCUUUAAACAUGGUUUGAGUAGCUCGACGCUGAGCCUGCUGAACGCCGUACGGAGACGACAAGGUGCGAUACUAAGUGGAUCAUACAGCGAGGGCAGCUCGCCGUGCACGCCACCGUCGACGCCACGUGAGCGGAAAACCGGCAACUAUCACCAUUAUGACGCGUUUGAUUUUCGACUGGCCUGAGCAAACUGUGGAAACAAAUGAACAAUUUCAAUAGAGUGUGUUAAGUUUCCCAUUACGAUUGACGCGAAACAUACACACACUGUUAGGUUGUGCUAACAUACUUAGUGACGUAGAAUCCUCCGAUCUGUCUAGUAGUGAUUCCGAAGAUCUGUUAGAUGAAAUAGUUAUAGCAUCAGCCCGCAUCGACGAUCCCGCCCAUUACGACCCGUUGGCCUCGCCGAUACAUUACUGUGAC
rnacentral:misc_RNA from 1 species